UACAGGGGGUGCAAACGUUGCUCGGAAUCACUGGGCGUAAAGCGCACGUAGGCGGCUUUCUAAGUCAGGGGUGAAAUCCUGGAGCUCAACUCCAGAACUGCCUUUGAUACUGGAGAGCUUGAGUCCGGGAGAGGUGAGUGGAACUCCGAGUGUAGAGGUGAAAUUCGUAGAUAUUCGGAAGAACACCAGUGGCGAAGGCGGCUCACUGGCCCGGUACUGACGCUGAUGUGCGAAAGCGUGGGGAGCAAACAGG
rnacentral:rRNA from 1 species